rnacentral:rRNA from 1 species
UACGGGGGGUGCGAGCGUUGUCCGGAAUCACUGGGCUUAAAGGGCGCGUAGGCGGUCUGCCAAGUCCGGGGUGAAAGCCCCCAGCUCAACUGGGGAAGUGCCUUGGAUACUGGCGGACUCGAGGGAGGCAGGGGUUGUGGGAACUUCCGGUGGAGCGGUGAAAUGCGUUGAUAUCGGAAGGAACGCCGGUGGCGAAAGCGCACAACUGGUCCUCUUCUGACGCUGAGGCGCGAAAGCCAGGGGAGCAAACGGG